GCAUGCAUGUUCGCGUGUGCGUGUGUGCAUGUGUGGGUGUGUGCAUGUGUGUGUUCGAGUGUGCAUUUGUGCAUAUGGGUGUGCACGUGCGUGCAUGUGCGGGUGUACGUGUGUUCGUGUGUGCAUGUGCGCGUGCCUGUGCACGUGUGUGUGCCUAUGUGUCUGUGUUUUUCUCUGUCUCACUUUCUCUUUUUUAUCUGACCCUCCCCUCACUUCAUGUUUUGUUUGUUUGUUUUUUCCACCUCUGUCCCUCCCUGGCAGAGGUCCCUGCUGUACGAAACUCUGCCAGUUUUUAGGAAGUGCUGCUGUGUCAGAAGCCUGCACACGAGACCCCAGUGGGCCAGGACUGACUUCCUCCCCACACAGAGCCGGGCGGGGCAAGCAGGAAGGGGCCUGUGACAGUCAAGGUGACGCAUCCUUGCCAGGCCAGCCCGAGCAGCAGCUGGGUCCACAAACGACAGGAGCACAGGUCAUCUUUCCCCCCAGGGGCAUCGGAAUGGACCUGUGCCACCACGUGUGGAUCCCCUCAUCCUGGCCUGGCCUGGGGAAGCGGGGAUAGGGCGUUAGCCGGAUCUCGCUGGGGUUCCAGCUCUGCGCCAUCCUGCCUGUGGUCAUGACCAAUCUCUUCUUCCUGUGGGGCCUCAGUUUCCCACCAGGGCUGCCUCCCCCGCUCUCCUGCGGUGGGCCUGUGUCCGGAAACAGGUAAGGCGCCCCCCGCCCCCGGCGCCCCCAGGGCCUGCCAGGAAGGCAAGAGGGCCGGCAGCAAAGACGAGCACCGCGCUGGUGCAGAGUAGACAGGCCAGGCAGCCAUGGUUAAAAACAGGCAGCUGGGCUGGGGGACAGGAAGCCGCACUCCGCAGAGCCUGUAGGGCGUGUGGGCUGGGGCGGGGAACAGCUCCGCCCACACCCCCUCUGCCCCAGGGUCCCUCCCACUGAGACUUUAGGGCCCUGAGACGGUGCCCUCCUCCUGCCUGGAAAGGGGAAGUGAGGCCAGCUGUCCUGGAAGCAGGGCUGCAAGCUCAAAAUUUCUAAAAAUACAACGGGAAAGAGGAAGGACAAAGGGGAAGUGAGGAGGAGCCCGGGAGAUGGGCACCCUCGCCGGCCUGGGGACUUGGGGUGGGGGGGUCCAAGCGGUGCCUUGCAAGGUUGUGAGAAGCACAGAGAUAAAUGAGGAGGAAACGGGGUCGGUGGUGGUGGUGGUGAUAGUGAUUUUAUUGUUUUUGUGUAUCAGCAGUAUAAUUAAAAAUACAUCUCCCAGCCAGGCACGGUGGCUCACGCCCAUAAUCCCAGCACUUUGGGAGGCUGAGGUUGGCGGAUCACCUGAGGUCAGAAGUUUGAGACCAGCCUGGCCAACAUGGUAAAACCCCGUCUCUACUAAAAAUACACAAAAAAUUAGCUGGGCAUGGUGAUGGGCGCCUGUAAUCCCAGCUACUCAGGAGGCUGAGGCAGGAGAAUCGCUAGAACCCAGGAGGCGGAGGUUGCAGUGAGCCGAGAUUGUUACACUGCACUCCAGCCUGGCCACAGAGCAAAACUCCGUCAAAAGAAAGAAAGAAAAGAAA
rnacentral:lncRNA from 13 species